rnacentral:rRNA from 1 species
GACGAUCGCUGGCGGCGUGCUUAACACAUGCAAGUCGAACGGAAAGGCCCUGCUUGCAGGGUACUCGAGUGGCGAACGGGUGAGUAACACGUGGGUGAUCUGCCCUGCACUUCGGGAUAAGCCUGGGAAACUGGGUCUAAUACCGGAUAGGAGCCAUUUUUAGUGUGGUGGUUGGAAAGUUUUUUCGGUGUAGGAUGAGCUCGCGGCCUAUCAGCUUGUUGGUGGGGUAAUGGCCUACCAAGGCGGCGACGGGUAGCCGGCCUGAGAGGGUGGACGGCCACAUUGGGACUGAGAUACGGCCCAGACUCCUACGGGAGGCAGCAGUGGGGAAUAUUGCACAAUGGGCGCAAGCCUGAUGCAGCGACGCCGCGUGGGGGAUGACGGCCUUCGGGUUGUAAACUCCUUUCGCUAGGGACGAAGCUUUUUGUGACGGUACCUAGAUAAGAAGCACCGGCUAACUACGUG